UACGGGGGGAGCAAGCGUUGUUCGGAUUUACUGGGCGUAAAGGGCGCGUAGGCGGUCAGCACAAGUCAGUUGUGAAAUCUCCGGGCUUAACUCGGAAAGGUCAACUGAUACUGUGCGACUAGAGUGCAGAAGGGGCAACUGGAAUUCCCGGUGUAGCGGUGAAAUGCGUAGAGAUCGGGAGGAACACCAGAGGCGAAGGCGGCGACCUGGACAGAUACUGACACUCAACUACGAAAGCGUGGGGAGCAAACAGGG
rnacentral:rRNA from 1 species